rnacentral:lncRNA from 1 species
CAUAGCCCCACUCAAUAUGACAUUUAGACAGAUGAGCCAGCAAUACAGUAGUUACAUGUGUCUGGGAUUUGUUUUUUAAAUUAUAUGUACCGCUUUUAAUAGCCUGAUUACAGCUGUUCAGUAAGUGAUGCCUCUAGACUGAAGAGGACCGAAAUGAGAAGCAGGCCAGCUAAGAGGGCUGGGAGCAGCACGUUCCCCUUGUUAUUGCCAGCUAGUGGGGAGAGAACAUAUGGCCACUUUACAAAGACUAUUGUGACCAUGAAAUUUGGAAGCCAAGCAUAGGAUACCAGGAGAGGUUGGAUAGAAGCAAGAUUUAUCAGAAUUAGCCUUGGAAUCUCUGACUCAAGUAUGGACUAUCAUCAGCCAUUAGCACCAGACAAAAUGCAGCCACUGACAAUCUUCUGGGAUGCCGCUAAGUAUACUUGACCUAACAACUACCAGUAAAACUUUCUGACAUGUGCUUUGAUUCUAGAUUAUCAACUAAGAAUUCAGGGAAACAUUCUACUAAAUAACAUGUCCUAUGUAAGUGAGAUAAUUAUAACAGCCUCCUCACUAGGUUAUGGGCCCCCAAAUUUGUACUUUUCAGAUCUUUCUUCUACGUUGCAGUCAGACACAGAUUUGAUCACGCCACACCAUUGCUCAGAAUUCUUUGGAUGCAACUUACUGCCUAUAGGAUGAAGACCACACUCAGGCAUUUCCUUGAAUGCUGACACAAUCCUACCCCAACCUACCUCACGAUCUUCCUACUGCAUGCAUGCUCCCUUCAGAUCUAAUUGGCUUUUUUUCACUAAUGCCUGCACUUGACCUAAGUGAAGAUUCUGAAGCAGGAGAGAAACUGGUUUUCUAGGCCUAUCUUGAGUCUCUUUUAUCAUUGACCAUCUUUCGCUACCACAAAAGAAUCAUAUUCUAUUGCACAAGACCUAGUGGGCCUCAUUUAAGAUUUUGAACAUUAUUCCAACAAAAUUCCUAAAAUUUUAAGUUUGUACUUAUAUCAUAAAGCUAGACCUUGCAUUUAAAACUCACCUUUAGAAAACUUGCUUUAAAAAAACAAAAACAAGUAAUUUUGAUGAAUUUGGAAAUUCUGUGACUUAAUCUUAUCUGUUAUCUGAGUAAGAGUUUAAGCAACAGUGACACUGGAAAAUAAAAUGAUAUUUAUGUAUAAAACAAUGAUAAUACUAUAGAAUGUCAUCUUUCAGGGUAACAUUUGUUGAGUUACAGAACUGAUUCAUUGAUUGCACUAAAGUUAUACCAUUGAAUAACUUGCAUGGAGGGAAACCAGAAUUAUAACCACGGGUAAAAAUUGAUAUAUUAGAGGUGAAUUUUGGAAGAAAUAAAAAUGUAGAAGGCAAUUAUAAGGGGAGCACUUAAAUUAGGUAUGAAUGGUUUAUGCUAUUGAUUAAAGCAUUUUAAAAAUCAAUAAAAGAACACUUUGUACCAAGUAGCUUUCAGGAACUUUCAGGGAAGACCAUUUGAUUCAGUUCAAAAGUCAGAAGCCUCUGCCCUAACAGGUAAAAAGCGUGGUUCCAUCUCCUUUUUAAAAAUAAAGCAAAUAACUACAAUUUAGAGUCUAAAAUCAAGCAUUAAUGAUCUGCUCCAGUCAUUUUUUAAAGAAGCAAGCUAUAUUAAAAAUUUUGAUACUUAAUGUGAAAAUUAUAUUUUUAUUUAUAUUUUACUACAUGCUGUUAUCUUCUAAUAACAAUUCAUGCCUAAUUUAUGUGCUCCCCUUCUAACUGCUUUCUAUUUUUUUGCUUCUUCCAAAAUUCAUCCCUAAUGUAUCCAUUUUUACCUGUGGUUGUAAUUCUGAUGUCCCUUCUUGCAAGCUAUUGAACAGUAUAAAUUUUAUUAUCAUUUUUAAAAUUUUUUUAUGCGUUGAUAUUAAAUGUUUAUAUUUGUAAAGUACAUGAGAUGUUUUGAUACAGCAUGCCAUGUGAAAUAAACACAUCAUGGAGAAUGGGGUAUCCAUCCCCUCAAGCAUUUAUCAACAGUCUAACUGUCAUGCAGUUAUAAACUUCUUAGGAGAAGGAUCUCUUGUGUUAUAUAAAUUAUAAAAUUUAAUGCCAUAUCCUUGUACAAGGUAGGCUAACAAUGCCUACUUUGAAUUGUACUAUAUUCAUUCAAGAAGCUUUUUAAAUCUCAGGCUUUCUGACUCUUUGUUCUGCAUUUCUCCCCUUUCAACUAAAGAAUAUAUUUUAUAGGUGAGCUACAGGUGGUUGUAUGUAUGCAUCUGUCAGUCUUAUUCCUAGGAACCCAUUCGUGAUAGCUCUGCCACAUCCAUUUGACAAUAAACGACUCAAGUUCAAGAACGCUAACUGCUUUCUUGUCAACUUCUCUGAAAGUAUGUUUAAAACACAUUUUCCUGACUCAUACAUUUAGCUUAGCCAGGUCACCACCAGGCCCGGCCUUGAAAGCAGCAGAUGUUGACGGGUUAAUAAAAAAAAGAGUAUCAUGAGAAGUGGUGACCAAAGCCCUCUGCUCAAAAUCUAUCCUAAAAACUAUGGCUGACAUACUUGUGAAGUAUAUUAAAUGAGAACCUUUCUUGCUAUCUAAUUUGGGCUGAAAUUCCAGAGCCAAGAACUCUAAGUACCCUCACAUUCUAAAAUGAGUUGCAGAGUCCUUGCAGGCAUUCACAGAAGGAGACUCCAAACAGCCUUGGUGACUCCUAGGUAUCACCUACCCUAGGAAAAACCUACACUGCCAGAGUUUGGUGCAGCAGGACAAUGGGUGGUUCCUUUGGAAAGGGUGACCUCAAAGAAGACUUUGGUUCUCUUGGACUUUGCAUGAAAGUAACAGCCACAGGACAAUGUGAAUCCAACAAAUAACAUCUGUGGAAGUGGACUUCCAGAAUUCAGGCAUCAAGUCAUAAGCAACUGGCCAAAAGAGGCAGCACCUAUGUUGGAAAAAGUCAGUGAGAAGUCUCAGGAAAUGUGUAACAGUGUGUGCAUGUGUGUGUGAGUCUCCAAAAACUUCCCCAAAGAUUCAGGGAAGAAGGCAAUGAUUUGAAUAUUCAAUAAAACCCAAAGGUCACUUCUGUCUCAUAAAUCUCUCUCUGAACCUGUUUCCAACUUUGGAGAAGCCAGUGGCCCAGGAUGUUGGAAAAAAAAAAGUGUGGAAAAGUGAGUGGGGACAUUGGUAAAAGUUGAACUGUGUCUUCCCUAAGAUAGGGAAGCAAAGAAAUCAGAAAUGUUCAUUCGAAUGAGAGUUUGGGUGUGGAAUAUUAAACAGAACUACUCUUUCUAUUAACUAAAAUAUGUUACUGUUUAUUCAUACCUGAGAGUGACUGGAAAAGCUAGAGGACCUGCAAGAGAUAACUCAUGGGUAGAGAAAAAUGAACAAGCAGCUCCAAAUGAUAUUGAAAAAAGAAAUAAAG